rnacentral:sRNA from 1 species
GCUGGGUGCAGUGGCACAUGCCUGUAAUCCUAGCAGCUCAGGAGGCUGAGACAGGAGGAUCAGGAGUUCAGAUCCAGCCUCAGUAAUAGUGAGGCACUAAGCAACUCAAUAAGACCCUGUCUCUA